GUAGAGAAAAUGUCAAAUACAUCAUUUUAAAUCAGUUUCUAUAUGACUUCCGAUCUUAAUUUUAGUUGUAUAGAUAAAAUUUUCAUAUUAGUCUUUUAUUACAAAAUGAGAAAAUUAGAAAUGGAAUUUUGAUUACCUAACAUUUAUUGAAUGCCAAUCAUGUACAAACAUGAAUAAUGUUUCUUUUUCUAAGGAAAUUGUCAAUCUACAGAAGUUCCACAGAAGUUUCUCUUGACUCCAGGAGGCUUAAAUGUACAAUCAUUCAGUGUCCCAGCCUAUUAUGGUACAAAGAAGAUCUGGACAGGGUUUUCAUGGAAACAGUGAAGUAAAUGCAAUAUUGUCUCCGCGAUCAGAAAGUGGAGGCCUUGGUGUGAGCAUGGUAGAAUAUGUAUUAAGUUCCUCUCCUGCUGAUAAAUUGGAUUCUCGAUUUAGGAAGGGAACUUUUGGAACUAGAGAUGCUGAAGCAGAUGGACCUGAGAGAGGAGAUCAGAAAGGCAAGGCGUCUCCAUUUGAGGAGGACCAGGACAGAGAUCUCAAACAAGGAGAGGAUGGCGACCCUAAACUAAAUGGAAGAGGUUUGCCAAAUGGAGUGGAUGCCGAUGGCAAAGAUUUUAAUCGUACUCCUGGAAGUCGUCAGGCCUCUCCAACUGAAGUAGUUGAGCGCCUUGGCCCCAGUACUAAUCCUCCAGAAGGACUGGGUCCUCUUCCCAAUCCUACAGCUAAUAAACCACUUGUUGAAGAAUUUUCACAUCCUGAAACUCAGAAUCUGGAUGCCAUGGAACAAGUUGGUCUGGAUUCCUUACAGUUUGACUAUCCUGGUAAUCAGGUACCCAUGGACUCUUCAGGAGCUGCUGUAGGCCUUUUUGACUACAAUUCUCAGCAGCAGCUCUUUCAGAGGACUAAUGCACUAACAGUUCAGCAGUUAACUGCAGCUCAACAGCAGCAAUAUGCAUUAGCAGCAGCUCAGCAGCCACAUAUAGCUGGUGUAUUCUCAGCAGGCCUUGCUCCAGCUGCAUUUGUGCCAAAUCCAUAUAUUAUUAGUGCUGCUCCUCCAGGGACCGAUCCAUAUACUGCAGCAGGUUUGGCUGCAGCAGCAACAUUGGCAGGUCCAGCAGUGGUUCCACCACAGUAUUAUGGUGUUCCAUGGGGGGUGUAUCCAGCCAAUUUAUUUCAGCAGCAAGCUGCUGCGGCAGCAAACAGCACAGCCAGUCAGCAAGCAGCAUCACAAGCACAACCUGGACAGCAACAGGUUCUUCGUGCUGGAGGUGGUCAGCGUCCUCUUACUCCCAACCAGGGUCAACAAGGACAGCAAGCAGAAUCACUUGCAGCAGCUGCAGCUGCAAAUCCAACUUUGGCUUUUGGGCAGGGUCUGGCUACAGGAAUGNNNNNNNNNNNNNAUGCCAGGUAUGUAAUUGGUUAAUUGCCAGUGAUUUUGCUGUUGGGGUUCCUGGGGAUUUGUAGAAAUUUGAAUAGAUUUACAAUGUUAGAUUGUACAUUCUCACACCAAAGAGGGAAUAAAUCAAGAAGUGUUUUUAAAGUCUUACCUACUUCAUAAUGAAUUAUUUAGAACUUAGAUACUAACAGUUGAAAUUAACCCAGACCUAACACAUAAAUGGCAGAUGACGUAUAUGAUUUCUCAAUGUAGCCCUUUUUUUCCUACCUGUUUAUGACAAGAGCCACAACAUCUUUCCAGUUGAAUUUACCCCAAAAUUUUCAGUGUUGUGCUUUAAGAAGUAAAGCUAGUUGGUAACCCUAUUUGUUAUUCCUUCCUCAUAAAAUAGUUACUAUUGAGUUUGCAGCUAACAUGUUCUACUUUGAUCAUUUUCGCACUUGUUUAGCCCAUUUGUAGCAUUUUGAACUAAUGGUAUUUUAACUUAAUAGUAAUAUUUAUAAUACACCUAUGAAAGCCUAAUGUAAAGAAAAUUACAGUAUAAAAUUUCUGUCCUCUGCCGUAGUAUAACUUGUAGAAAAGGACAAGGCACAUUUUUUUGUGAAGUAGAUGUUUUUGAAAGUAGAUACAAAAUCACUGUAAUAAUAAUGGAGAAAGGAAAGUAUUUUUCUUAAAUGAGAAAACCAGUACUUUUAGUUUUGUUGCUUAUCUGUUAAGUAUUAUUAUCAUUUUGGUACUGGGGAUUGGACCCAUUAUUUUGUUUUGGAUUGGACUGGGAAGGAGGGUGUUCAUUUCAUUUUUUAUUUUUUUGCAAUGUGGGAAUUAACACAUUCCCACUGGCUUGAACCGUUAGUGGGUAUGUGCCUGGCUACCCCAUCAAGCAGCUUGUACCACUGAUAAAAUUAAUAAAAAGCCAUCCAAUGGGACAGUCUUCCAUGUACCAGCAGUGGUUUAAGCUGGGUAGCAGUGAAUCAUACAAAUUAUGGCGGGCCCCAUUGGGCCCCACCAUAAAUAUGCUAACCUAGGCCCCCCAGUAUUCUACCCUGAGGCUGUACAGCAAUCCCAUAGUGUGUUUUUUGUUUUUGCAGUACCCAGGUCCUCAUCUGUGCUUCCUGGUAAGCCCUGUGCCAGUGAGCAACUUUUCCAGCCCUUUUUAAAAUUUUGAGACCUAGUCUUCCUGUGUUGCCUAGGCUAGCCUUGAGCUUGUGAGCCCCUUGCCUCAGGCUCUCCUGUAGCUGGGGUUAUAGGUUUUGGCCACCUGGCCAAGCCCAUUGUACUUUUAAAGUGAAAUUUAAAUACCAUGGUUGAAUAUCACUAGAUAAGACAACACUUCCCAUUCUUUCCUUGUCUGAAAACCACCUUUUUUUUAAGUGUGCUAUUUUUCACUUGUGAUAAUCUGAGUGGUUACCCACAUUACUAAUUACAUGCAUUACUUACAGUGAAAUGAGUUUGUUUUCAUUUAAUUAUAAUAUAGUUACAUUUUCUAUUUAGGUCAUUUAGGAAAUGUGUUCAAGUGUGUUGUAUAAGAUCUCUUACAUGAUUGAAGGUUUAUUAAUUACUAAGUGCUUCUAUGUUAUUUUAAGGAUUUUAUAUCAGUUGCAUUCAUUCUAUUUUCUCUGGAAUUCUGAGGACUGAUCUUCUAGUUGGCUAGAUAAAAGAAUUUCAUACUGUUGUCUUUAAAGUAAAAAUAAUAAGUAGAGGUCAUUAUUAUUUUCUUACACAAGCUCUAUGUUUGUUUAUCGGGAAGCUGACUGUCCUGGAGCCAUUGUAGUCUAGAGACCUUGGCAAAAGCAACCUUUUGAGAAAUGGACUGUGAAGCCAGCGUGCAUUUGGUGGUUUUUUUAACACCCCCGCCCCCCCAUCUCUUGGUCCCCUCUGUUUUGUAAAAGAUCUAUCUCCUAUUACCUUUUAUUUUGUUCUUUAUUUCUAUUUUGGUCUUCUCAUUUAAGAGAAACUGUGAGAUAUUUAAGCUUGUGUCUGAUGUAUUUCACUUAACAUUAUGAUCUCAAGGUACAUCUUUUUCUACAGAUGACUCAAAUUUAUCCUGCUUUAUGGCAGACUAGUACUCCAUUGUAUGUAAAUACCACAUUUUCUUUAUCCAUUCAUGUGUUGAUGAACAGGUUGCUUCCAAGAUUGAGCUGUUAUUAAUUGUGCUCCUAUAUAAUCAUGGAUAAUCAUGUAUCACUGUAAUAUGAUGUCUUUAACUCUUUUGAGAAGAUACCCAGAAAGGGAAUAGCUAGGUCAAAGGAAUUUCUACUUUUAUUAGUUUUUUGAGGAAUCAUCAUACUGAUUUUAAUAGUGGUUUCACUAUUUUACAGUCCCAUGAACAAUGUAAUGAAGUUUUUGUAGGUUUAAGGAAGCCGAGCUUAAAAGAACUCAGUUGGGAAGUUUUGAGUGCUGCUGAGACUACUGUGGGUUUUUCAGAGUUUUACCAACCGGUAGAAAAGGGAAAGAAGGUCCUGGAGGACGGUAGUCCUUUCUGCCCAACUGGAUUUCAAUGGAACCUGGACAGUGUUUUUGCCUUGUAUUGUUUCCUGUACCCUGUCUCUGUUAUUGGUCUCUCUGGGUUCUUCAUGCUGGGCCUAUUACUCAUUUCUAAUAAGUGCCUUUUGUCUUGGUUACCUUUCUCCUUGCUGGGACAAAAUACCUGAUACCCAAAGUUAAGAGGAGGAAAGAUAUUUUGGCUCACUGUAGAGGUUUUGGUCCAUGGUCUGUUGGCUCCAGGGCAGGGUGGAUGGCUGAGGAGCAUUGCAGAGGAGAAACGAGUCCAUGGCAGGGCAGAAGACAGCAAAGAAGCAAAGUAACAAGUGAGGACAGCAGCCCUCUUUCUGUCUCAUAUUCUAUCCGGGCUACACGCCCUAGUGGGUAGCAUUUGCACCCAGCAUGGGUCUUCCCAUUGUCUACACCCAGAGCUGUGCCAACCAGUCAGUGGACUGAUUUAGCAAUCACACACCCUUGAUCCCAGCAUCACACAAUCCCCGCGUCAGCAUGCUAGAUCCAGCCACCUGUGACCUCAUGAGACUUGAGGGGAGGCAUCUGAACACAGUAACAGCUUUGCUUUCUUUGUUCAUAUUCCUCUUACAGAGUUUUGGUUUUUAAUUUCUUUUGAAAAAAAAAAAAGAACAACAAGGUCUUACUGCGUAACCCAGGUUGCCCUCCUGCCUCAGCCUCCCAAGUGCUGGGGCUGUAGACUGCACCGCCACCCUCAGUUACAGUUUAGGCUUUAUCUUACUAAAUACACCAAAAGUGUUUUGCUAUUUUUAUCACCUUUGGUCUUAGGAUUUUUUUUUUUUGUAUUAAAUUCUUUUAUUGGUACAUUUGUAUUAAAUUUUAUUGGUACAUUGUAGGUAUACAAUUACAUUUCUCAUUGGUAAUUGUACCUUUACAUAAUGCAUCUUGGUUCUUAUUUUUUCCCCAUUCCUAGCCCUCCCUUCACGCCCUCCACCUUUCCCUAUUUACAAAGACUUUAUUUCCAUUUCUCAUCAUUUUUCCUUUCCCUUCUUUCCUUUCCCCUGCCCCUCCCACUACCCCUCCA
rnacentral:lncRNA from 1 species